rnacentral:misc_RNA from 1 species
GCCAGUUCUAGCACGGACCCGGAACAUUUAGAAUCUUCUUUAACCGCGCCCACUUUACGUGCACCGUGCGCAAGCACAGUGGCCUUGGUAUCUUUAUUGUGUACACAUCUUGAUACUAACUAGGCGCGUUAAAUUUUACGUGCUUUACUUGGAAGUAUUAAGAGUUAAAAUUAAAUAUCUUUCUUAAAUACUUUUUAAAGAAUUUGUUUUGGGUCCGUCCUAGAGAACGAUUUUGGACCCUUCGUUUUAAACAUGCAUUCCAUUAAAACUGAUUAGGUAUGUUCUUCUAGACUGAUCAUACGGGUGAUAAGAUCACUAUGUUUCCCCGGAGACAUCGGAGUUUAAUCUUCAAGCUCCUGGUCGGGAUACCGGUCGUUUGGAUCCUGGCUCUCAUGUUCUUCUACUCAGAGAACAAGACGGAGAACUCCGUCCCGGCUGUGAACAAACCCGCUGCGCUAGUGCAGGACGGAGUUAACAUCGGAGAAACUCCGUUGACGGAGAUCGCUGUCGUAAGCGAGGAGACUAGAAAGGAGAAACAUGUUGAUGUUGGAGUUCUAGUUGCUCCCCAUGAUCCGGAGGGACCUGGAGAAAUGGGGAAACCAGUGAAAAUUGAUAAACCGGAGAAAGAUAUAAAAAAGAAAAUCGAUGAUGGUUGGCGAGAUAAUGCAUUUAAUCAGUAUGUCAGUGAUCUUAUAUCUGUACAUCGAACCCUUCCUGAUCCCAGGGAUGAUUGGUGCAAGGAGAAAGAUAGAUUUCUCUCCGAUCUUCCUAAAACCAGUGUUGUUGUGUGUUUUCACAACGAGGCCUGGUCUGUUCUUCUACGAACCGUUCAUUCAAUUCUAAAUCGAUCUCCUAAGCAUUUAAUCGACGAAAUUAUCCUUGUCGACGACGCAUCGACGAUGGAUCAUCUGAAGGAUGAGUUGGAGAAGUAUGUGGAUCAGUAUCCACAAGUGAAGAUUGUCCGAGCCCCAGAACGUGUUGGAUUAAUCAGAGCUAGACUUUUAGGAGCUAAAUAUGUGAAGGCUCCGGUUGUAACCUUCCUUGAUUCCCACUGCGAGUGCACAGAAGGCUGGUUAGAGCCGCUGCUCGACAGGAUAGCUAGAAAUUCGACCAAUGUCGUCUGCCCUGUCAUCGAUGUGAUAAACGACGACACUCUGGAGUAUCAUUACAGAGACUCCGGUGGAGUAAAUGUCGGAGGUUUCGACUGGAACCUUCAAUUUAACUGGCAUGCUGUUCCAGAACAUGAAAAGAAAAGACAUUCCAACACCGCGGAAGCGGUUAGAAGUCCGACCAUGGCCGGCGGACUUUUUUCUAUCGACAUGAAGUUUUUUGAAACCCUGGGAACUUAUGAUUCUGGGUUUGAUAUCUGGGGAGGAGAAAACCUGGAGUUAUCUUUUAAAACCUGGAUGUGCGGCGGUACUCUAGAGAUUGUUCCUUGUUCUCACGUCGGACAUAUUUUCAGAAAAAGGUCCCCGUACAAGUGGAGGUCGGGUGUCAACGUACUCCGACGAAACUCUAUUCGUCUGGCCGAAGUUUGGUUGGACGAUUUUAAAAAGUAUUAUUAUGAUAGAAUCGGCCAUGACCUAGGGGAUUAUGGUGACGUGUCAAGUCGGAGGAAGCUGAGAACAGACCUCCAGUGUAAAUCCUUUAAAUGGUACUUAGACAACAUCUACCCGGAGUUGUUUAUACCCGGAGAAGCUGUUGCGUCCGGAGAAAUUAAAAACCCUUGGUCCAACCAGUGUGUAGAUUCAGCGGCCAAACGUGAGGAUAUGCACAAAGCCGUCGGACUAUGGCCGUGUCACAAUCAGGGCGGAAACCAGUAUUGGAUGCUGUCGAAAACCGGAGAAAUUCGGCGGGACGAAUCCUGUCUUGACUACGCCGGGACGGACGUUAUUUUGUAUCCUUGUCACGGUUCGAAAGGGAACCAGUUCUGGGUUUAUGAUCAUGAUACAGAGACACUGAGACACGGAAGUUCUCGUAGAUGUCUCGCAAUUAAUAAAUCCAAGGAUAAGCUCCACAUGGAGGAUUGCUCAGAAGAUCAUGAGAGACAAAGAUGGAGAUUCCAGAACUUCGAUCCAUCCAAACAAAACUAGAGAUCCUACAAAGUGAAUAAAGUAAGAUUGUAGAUUUUUGCCGACUUUGUCAACAUAUUGAUCGAUUGACACCAAGUAGUAAAUUGAUAGGAACAAAUUGAUUUUUAAAUAACCACCCUAAUUAUACAUAUUUUAAUUGUUUGUUAAGCAGUGACGCCUACAUAUAUGCUGAGAAAUUUCUAUCCUUACAUACUAUUUAAUCCUACGUCCAUGUUCCUCCAGCUUUCCUAUUCACAGCUGGAAAUAGUUGAGAAAGUCCUGUUGACUUCUCAUUUAUUCACAUUAUCUGAACCUAAGCCUGUCAACUAGAAAAGUUUAAUUCUAAUCUUUUAAAAAGUUCAAACCCCAAACCUUGUAAUACCAGAAAGUGAUAAAAGAAUCACUGUUUUCACAUUUUAUUUUUCCUAUCUUUUACUGAUAAAUUCCCGCAUUUUAUUUGUCCUGCAACUUUUUAGUUUUCAGUGACCUAAGUGCCAUAGUUACAGCUUUUACACAAAAAAGUAUCAAACCAGGGGCGGGGUGUAUACAAAGGGACCUUUUUUGACAUCGGGGGGGGGGGGGGGGCUAAGUCCCACUUCCCCUUUGUAUACGACCCCGAAGCCCUGUUUUUCUUGCCUUCAACUGGUCACCCAUUAUAAAUGUAAAAUACUAUUUGUUUUAAUGAUCACAUAUCGGCGUCUCUAAUAUAAAAAUGUGAUAUAUAUAAUUUAAAAUAUGCCUCACUUCUAAUUGAAUUUAAGGCUCCUUUUUAUUGUUAACGAUUUCUUAGUCACAAAGAAAUAAGAAGAUACUUUUUUAAGGUUGGGGGUGGGGGGGGUGGGAAGGCCUUGAAGAGAAAAAUUAGUCUAAAUUAAAACAAAUUUUUUUUGAAUAGCAUUCUCUAUAUUCAAUGCAAAACGUUGUAUGUUUAUACAUUCAUUGAUUUCACUCUCAUUUUUCCCAGGGAUUUAAUUUCACUCAACAAUUACCCCAGGCUGAAAUUUCCCUCAAAUUUGAUGUUUUUACGGUUCCUGGUUUCUCUCUGAAUACACGAGUAAAUCUUAAUUGUCAAUUAAAUCAAAUACAACCAGGCAAUUGACUGUUGUGUGAACAAAAAAUAAAUAACAUUAAAAUAAAUUUCUCCAACGUAAGUCUUGAACUGCAUUUUGGUCAGUUACAAAAAUGUAGAGGUUUCUAUUAGUUCCAACCUAAUUAUUUUGUUUUAAACUUUAUGCAUCAAACAACAGUUAAGUUUGGAAAACUAAAUUCUUUGCAAAAUUAUUGAUAACCGUUUUUUAUUUUUGACCCCGUCAAGGAGCGUGUAGAUUUUCGCAGUUAAUAGUUUUUCUUGAAAAAGUAUCUUCUUUAAAAUAAGAUUUGAAAAGAUUUAAUGGAGAACCUAGAAUAGAUUAAAACGACCAGAUAAUAACAUUUUAAAUUAAAAACCGCUAGAACCAAAGUUAACUAAAAAAACCUAGUCGCCAUAUCAAAAAUCGGUGCUUUGUAUUUUUAAAACGUAGGUUCCCAUUUUGCUUUAAGAAGUGAAGGGUUAAGAUUAUUUUAACUUACAAGCUUCAAGUUCCUGUGUAACCCGUCUAAACGUGCGAAACCCGAAUAAAAUAAUCCGCGAAAAUAAAUUUUAAAAAUCCAUGGUUUGAAUUGCAGGAAGAAGAUUUUCAACCUUUGGUUCAUCUUAACCUUUCACGAAGCUUGGAUUGGUUAUAGGAAACCUUGGUGCAUAUACACGUUCAUAAAAAUAGGGAAGGGGGAGGAGUGAACUUGACCGGGUUGGGAGAGAAAUGAAGCUCUCGGCUCUCCGCUCAGUCAUGUCUCAAGUCCCUAAAAGUGGACUCGCCACCUCGGCUCCUAAAAUGGAAGGUUUUAGGGUGGAGAGAGAUACUUUUGGAGAGCUUCAGGU